UACUGUUAUAGAGUGUUAUAGAGUUAUAGUUUAUAUAACUGAGUGUAGACUGCUUCCUUUUUGGUUAACAGUGUAAUGAAUACAUUUCAGAACCCUUCAGACUUGACAAGCUGUUGCACUUUUUUAUGUAGAGGAAGAGCAAUGACAGCAGGAGAGAGAGAGAGAGAGAGAGAGAGAGGGAGAGGGAGAGCAGAAGAAUUAGAAAUUUAUGUGUAGCAGAAUAAGAAAAAUGUGUGAAUGGUACACAUUACUCAAAACACUGCAUUGUAGUCUGGUCUAUCGUGGCUGCUGUUGACGGACAAAUUGGUGUCUCUGGGCUCUGUUCUAAAGACUCAGUGGUGCAGAGUGCUGCAUUCAUGCUGUGGUGGUGGACUUUUUUUUUUUUGAUAUUUUAUUGCUGGAGGCAUGUGGUACCAUUGAAGUUACAGUUGGAAACAGGGUGUGAUUAUCAGGAUGUGGUAGAGGCUCACUUCAGUCAUCAUCAAUCAAAUUUGCCUUUUGCCUUUCAUUUCUAGAGGAUUGGUCUCUGCUUCAUGGAGCUCAAGUCUGUGGCACAGAGAACAGUCAGGAGUGGAUUCACAGCAAAAGUUUCUCUCAAGAGGAGACUGAUGUGCUUGUGUGGGAGGUGCAGAACUGCUGUGGAGAGGUGGGGCAGCCAUUCAGGGAGCAGUGUCAGGUGGAUUAAUUGUUACGCCAGCACUGUUUGCAGAUCACCUUUUCACUUAGGAAUGUGCUGGGACCACAGGACAGAGCACUUAUGGCAGAUGGAUGUCCAUUACAAAUAAGUUCCCUGAGUUACUGUGGUGGAGUUGAGUGCACUGCGCCCACAGAGCAAGCUUCAGUGGGGUGCAUGAUUAAACCCUUUCAUACUGUUUGUGUCCAUUUUUGAUUUGUUGUGAAACUUGAUGGCAGUAUAAAUACCCUAAAUGUCAUUCUUUUAGGCUGAUAUUUGAUGAUUUUUGUAAAGUGACCCAAAAUACACAAAAAAUCAAAUAUCUUAAAGUUUUAUACUAUUGUACAGAUGCUACAACUUUUUAUAAAGUAGGUUUUUCUGGGUCAAAUUAGACCCACAUCUGUUGACUGAUGGAUUUUAGAUCCAUCAAAUCAAGAAAAACUGGGUUUUGAGGAAUCUUGAAACUGUGAAGCUGUACAUGACAUGUCUGUGUGUAUUUUUUAUGGGACAGUGGUGACAGAGUUCAAGGGGGACUUUGACAUUGUCAUGAGACCCGUCUGUGCUCCUACCACAUUUGGCCAGGUUCCUGCAGGGACAGGCACAUGCUGGUGUUUGAAUGAUCAUGAGGGAAUCUGAAAAUAGCAAAACAACAUAGGAGUGAUGUGGUGCAAAUAAGAAAAAGCAGUUGUACAGAGGCCCUGAGAGAAAGACAGCAGUGUGCACCUGUAAGUAUUAUCGAAUUAAAAUUUGCUAACAAUAUGUAACGAGCAUUUAUAAAACAUCUAUUAACACACUCACGAUCAAUAAGCUCAUUAUAUAAAUAAAUAUGCAACUAAAUACUGUUUUAAUUACCUACUUAAACUUUAUAAAUGAUACCAUGAACAUGUUAUAAAUGAGCUUAUUAAUCGAGAAUUAAUUAUAAAUUUUAUACUAAGGAGGAGGAAUGCUUUAUGAAUUAUGAAUUAUUAUAAAGUGUUACAGAAGAAAAAAUAAUAAAAGAAAAGCCAGUUUAUACCUUAUAGGGUUAAUGUACCAACAAACUGCUAGUUAUUUAUUAACGAGCCAUUUAGUUUAGAUGCAAAACAAAUAAGCAUUCUCUCUGGAAAAAUUUGUGUGCCAUUUUGCUUUUCAGUCCUGAAAAAUUAAACAUCCCCUCGAGGUUUUUUUUUUUUUUUUAAGACACAGUAAAAUAUUCUUCUUUUGAAUAACACAUUGGUUCAUAUGUUUAUUCAACAGCUAAUGCUUUUAAAAGUGUAUGAUAUAAAACGUAAAAUGCACAUUUUUUUUCACUAAUUCUUUUCAUGAAAAGUCAGUCAUUAGUAUAUAUGGUCUGGAGCUGUUCACACUUUUAAGUUAGACAUUGGACCGUUACUAUCCUCGAGAGUGAAUAUGGAUAUGUGAGCAUAGGCAUCAUUCAGUCAGUUAAGCUUAAACAUUCUGACUGACAAACAAACAAAGAAACACAAGGUUUCUUUGUUUGUUUGUUUUUUGUUGGAUUAAGGCUCAAAUAGUCCUAAUAAUUAAAUUGAAAGGAUUCAGAGUUCAGAGUUUCAGUUUCAAUUUUGACUGAAUUUUGACCCACAAUGCAUUUGAUCAGAAAUGUGCUCUGCUGAUUUACACCUACCAUUAAGCAGUGCAGAAUACCAGUGCACCAAGGAGUGAACUCUGUGUUAUCUUACUAAAUAAUAAUACAUGGGCAUGAAAAUUAGGUGACUCCUAUGACCUUUAUGACCUAUGACUUUUAUCACCACACCUGAAUUCAGAUGAACACCUCCAGGAGAUGUUUGACAGGAUGUGCCCUUCAUCCUGAAAACACUCAUGCAGAGGUUCCCUGCACUUCGGGGCCUGUAAGAGUGCGAAGUUCCACUGAAGCAUGUCCGUGAACCCCCCCCCACAAAAAAAGAUCAAAACAAAACCGCAUGCUGUGCUACUGUGUGACAGGUGGGUGGCAUGAGCGCUAAUACCUGUGAUGCAUGGCAUCCAAAUUGCGCUGCUUCUCAUGAUUGCCACCACCACAGCUAUUCAGCCACCUCUUCUCGCUUAAGCUGCAGCCAAGUUCAAAGUAAUUCGGCAAAAUAUCAGUGGGUGGGAAAAGAAACUGUGCACAGCUGAAGAAAAUGUCACUUUACUGGCAUCAAAUACAAACUUUCUAUGAAAGCUGCUUCCUCCUACUUGUUGAACAUAUACUGUACAUGAGGGAUGUAUAUGGCCAGUCAAUAAUGCUCCACUGGGAAACACCUGCUAACUGGGCUAAUCAGUAACAUCUUACUUUUGUUUAAGUUACUACAUAAAUAAUAAUGAUAUUAAUAACAAUACUGAAUAAAAUUAAAAUUUAAUUAGAUAAAUCCCCCAAAUAAAAUGUGGACGUGCCAAGAACUGCAAUUUCUAAACUUCAGGUUGACUCUAAAAACAAGUCAUUAUUAACAACUUGAGCAACUCUUCAGAAGAAACAGACAUGUUACAAAAAAAUGCUUUUAGGCUAGCAUUGGGGCUACUGUGUUCCAUGUUACUGUAAUCACGUUGCACUUUUAAAAAAUACAAUAAUGUAACGUGUUAUUGUACUAAAUUCAGUAAUUACAUUAUAUCUAUAAUACGUCGUUACUUGCAUCACAGCGAUUCUUUGGUUAUCUGGACGCUGGGAAGAUACAAAAAAAAAUUCAAACAAACAUACCUUCUUCUUCCUGCACACUCAAUCAGCUGAUAUAAGUUUGUGUGCCGGGCAGUCUACAGCGUUUGUGGAGAGGCAAUAUGGACAUUACUUUUAUUUUUAUUCCAUAAUGCUGCUAACACUUUCUGCCACCAUUUGCACAGACAGCAUGCUAACAGAAAGCUACUGAAGAACCAAGAGUGAUGGUAAAGCUGGGUGUCCACAGCCACAGCAUGAACUUCAACCGGUAACAAAGGCAGUGAUGAGUAGUCAGGCUUGCAGCAUUAUAGCCUCGGUUUCUACCUGCUUAUGUUUCUACAGUAGAAUCACUCUGAUGAUUUCUUUUAAGUCUCUUUAGGUUUGUUUUAAACAUUGUGUUGUCAGCUUUGUGUUUAUAUGUGUAACCUAAAUGAUAGAUCCUAUGUAUGUUCUCAUUAGUAUAUGGUUUUAUGUUGGUGUGUGGAACCAUAGCCUGUAGGUUUAUACAAAUAAUCUAGGUAGGUACUAUAUAUUUAAUUUUUUUAAAUAAUCUGGAUAAGCCUUUGCCGUACUAUUCUCACAUGUCAUUCCUCACCCGUCCACCAGGCUUCCUUUGGGGUUCUGCCUCUGCAGCCCUGUUUAAAGAGCUUCAGUGCAUGUGACCUGCAGCCUAUCUCACCUUCUGCACUUCAUCUUACUAUCUGUAUCUCUCUCUCUCUAUCUCUCUUUGUAUAUAUGUAUGUAUAUAUAGAUGUAUGUAUACUCAUUUCACCUGCUGGCAUUUUUCAUUGUCCACCCUGACUUGUCCAUGUUUGCCCAGCCACUACAACCUACCAUCUGAUUUGUAUUCUAUAUGAAGGUUCCUGCUGUCAGGUUUGCAUCGGAUUGUUUUUUAUUCUGUGAGUCCUGCUAGGAAAACAAACCACAUCCAAAAUUUUAAUACCCCACUCUGUUCAACAAUGUAGGAGACAAUGGUACAAGAUGAAGAUUUUGUUUGAAAAUUUAAUAUGUUUUUUUGAAUUUACAUUUAUUCUCUAUUCUUCUCUGCUGAGUCACCCAUCAGGUAGGGCUGCCAUCCACGUGCACCUGUAGUGCUGCUGGAUGAGCCAGUAGAUAACUGUCUUAAGCCUCUAUCUUCAUACCCUCAAAUCUGAUCACUGAGAUACGAUAUGGAUAACUCCCACUUGUUUGUUUUGCUUAUCUACAGGAUUAAAUCCACCUACUGGGGAAGCUCUACUUUUCCAUUACUAGGUGGAGAGAAGAAGAAAAGAGAGAGCUUUUUCAGCGACGUCUCAACAAAUGGCUGUCAUUUAUCUUAUGAUAAAUUCAUAAAUGAACAGCAUGUUUUCCUCGGCUCAACUAGCCUUCAUCUGAUAGUAAA
ensembl:lncRNA